GACGAACCGAGCGAACGUUGUUCGGAAUCACUGGGCUUAAAGGGCGCGUAGGCGGGUGCUCAAGUCUGUGGUGAAAUCCUCCGGCUCAACCGGAGAACUGCCAUGGAUACUGGGUGUCUCGAGAGUGGUAGGGGUAUGCGGAACUAUCGGUGGAGCGGUGAAAUGCGUUGAUAUCGAUAGGAACUCCGGUGGCGAAGGCGGCAUACUGGACCACUUCUGACGCUGAGGCGCGAAAGCCAGGGGAGCAAACGGG
rnacentral:rRNA from 1 species